rnacentral:rRNA from 1 species
AUUGAACGCUGGCGGCAGGCCUAACACAUGCAAGUCGAACGAGUGGCGGACGGGUGAGUAAUGUCUGGGAAACUGCCUGCUGGAGGGGGAUAACUACUGGAAACUGUAGCUAAUACCGCAUACCAUCAGAUGUGCCCAGAUGGGAUUAGCUAGGUGGGUGGGUAACGGCUCACCAAGGCGACGCUCCCUAGCUGGUCUGAGAGGCUGACCAGCCACACUGGAACGGAGACACGGUCCAGACUCCUACGGGAGGCAGCAGUGGGGAAUAUUGCACAAGGGGCGAAAGCCUGAUGCAGCCAUGCCGCGUGUAUGAAGAAGGCCUUCGGGUUGUAAAGUACUUUCAGCGGGGAGGCGUUACCCGCAGAAGAAGCACCGGCUAACUCCGUGCCAGCAGCGGCGGUAAUUG